CACACAGAAAUGUUGAAACUUUCCACGAACAACCUAAAAUCACGUUGCUUUCUCCCCCUCAAAUCCUAGAUCCAUUUUCAAAAUUCAAACCUAAAAUCACGUCCUCUUUCUCUCCUAAAAUCUAUCCAUUUUCAAAAUUCAAACCCUACUCACCCAAAUCUCUCUCCCUCUCAGAUCUUCGCCAAAACCAAGCGUGCGUGCUCUCUCAUUCUCUAAUGAUGGUGAAAGGAGUUUUAGGGUUUAUGGUCAAAUCGAAUCAGGAGAAAAAAAUAUAGGGUUUACACAUCAAGUAUGAUGAUUUGAACAAAGGGCAUAGACAUUCAUCUGAUGAUCUUCAACAUCAAAAGGCCUUUUUCUUCUGCGUUAAUCUCGAAAAGAGAUAUAUGCAAUAACAUGAUGAAGUGGAUCUUUCUACCAUUGGAAUGGCUUUCAUAUUUUGAGCGGGACGAAAACAGUGGACUAAGUUUGGCUCCGCGUGUUUUGCAAUAAACUGGUUUAUUUCUUAUGGUUUAUAUAUGGGAUACUAAAACUGUCUACUUUACUACUGGUCUAGGGUUGAUUUUUCUUCUGCUUCACUAUAUGGAGCUUUAAAACGUGUCAACAUGUUUCCAUCGUUGCUUGUGUAGCCUACCCACAAAGAUAAGGAACGUAGUGGUCCGGCUGGAUAUAAAAAACAAGCCAUGGCUCAUGCGCUUUUGGUGGGUUUACGUGACUAGAGCCGAUGGUGAAUACAUUAGCAAGAAACUCUCUUUCAUCCACAAUGGCUGAUCCGUUCCAUUUAGGAUUUUCCUUCAAAAACUGCAAUUGCACCAAUAUUUCCAAAUUUUUUUUUUUGCCUCGGUUCCUACAGUGUCAUCUUCCCAAUGGGAUUGCUAUUAAGUAUUAACUACAAGGUCUGCACGGCGUAGAAAGUAGAAACGAUGGAUGCAGUACACGAAACAGCCCAGUAGUUGGUGGGCCUUUCAAGUUGAUUGGUUCAGAUGGUAAAUUAGUGAUCCAAAAGGGGGAGAAUGGAUACUAAUCUAAUUUGGUUAUACUUCAUCCCCUGAUGUAAGGCCAGCCGAAUUUGCCAAAUUGGCCAAGGCUAUCGAUACAACAGGUUCUUUCUCUUGCUUUCUUGAUAUAAUAUAAUGAAUAUCACAUAUAGAUUCAAAACACAACAUUAAGGUUUAACCUGUUUACGUUGGUAUUGAUCCACAACGCGAUACCCCAUCUCACCUUCGUGCUCAUCUCAAAGGUCGGUUCUCCUUUCAAUAGGGUCAUUUGCUUUUACCUAUAAAAACUAAAGCUUUUACCAAUUUCGAUUUAAGGUAAUAAUUGUGGUUUGGUAAGUUAUUAUUGUUUUUUUAAAACAUGGAGUGCAGAAUUUAUGAGAGAAUGAUGGGUCUAACUGGACCAGUUGGUGUUGUAAGACGGAUGGCAAAUGAGUAUAGAUUGUUUUUUAAGAAGGCCGAAGAAGAUGGGGAUGAUUAUCUUUUCGAAUCUUCACACAUUAAAUUAUAAUAAAUCAUUUACAAGUGCAACUAAACUUGAAGAUAUUCUUUGGGACACGAAACACGACAUGGAUGUGGAGUCACCCAUAUAUAAGAUAGCUUGAUCAUCAGCAAGGUAGGCGCAGUUGGCUGUGGAGUCGCCACUCUUGUGGUUUGAAUCUAUACUGAGUUAUUUUACAGGUUGAAGCUCUUGAAGACCAAAAGGCAUCAGAAAAGAGUAUAACGAGCUUGACACUGUCUGGUUUAUGGUUGGAUCUCUAUUCCAGGUGUUUUUUCUUGUUCCUUUGGUGACUUGUGAUGUUUGUAUUGUAUAGGGUUAGACCUAUUUAGUUCACAAAUUAGCAAGAAAUGGUUUUAUCUUUGUUUUUGCUUGUUUUGAGUUGAGUUCUCUACAUGAUUUUUUUCCUUAAUUUCUCUCUCUUUUUUUGUAUUUUAAGCAGCAAUACCCAUUUGAUAUUCUUACAGAGGCCUUUUAAUAUGGGAUAUUUAUACAAGCUUUUGCAGUAGUUCAAUCUGAUAUGACCCAUGAUGAUAUGGGUUUGUUGUACUUCUUGUUUUAUGUAUGUGCCAAAAAGUGUUUUAUCUUGUAUAUAUGAUGAGAACUUAUUGGUUCAGUUUUUACUCUAGGAAAUAUGAUUUAACAAGUUCAAGUGAAUUUUUUUUGAGCCUGCUUCCUUCAUGCAGAGAGGAACUCAUUCUGUGAAUCAGGUGCUACACUGCUACUUGCACUCAACUUAUGCAGAGUCGGCUGAAGUUUACCUUUCCAUAGCAUAUGUUCUAGGCUCAUUUUUAAAAUUAAAAUUGUUAUUGGACUUUGUUCUCUAUUUUGUUGGAUAAAUGUUGACCUUCAUUAAAUGUUCUGUGACUCACUUCUGUACCUUGAUAACGUAUGUCGUAAUGUAAAUUGUCACCCCCGCCGCAUCGCGCGGGCACCCUACUAGUACUACUAUAUAAAACAUAUCCAAAGGACUUCUUAAAGUCCAUAAAAAUUCCAUUAAAACACCAUUAAAGCAUGAUGUACAAUCCUCUAAAGCACAACAUAAUUUGGUUUUCCUAUUCUACCCUCACUCACAAAACAAGGCGGAGAACAAAACCACGUUAUCAGCUCAUUAGGGUUUCUGUCUUUCACAUCCGCCCCAUUUCUUCUCUCUCUCUCUCUCACCAGGAGAUAACCCUUGAUCGAUGGAUUUCACUGCCGAAUUCACUGGAUCGACGGAUUUCACCUGCGAAUCCACAUCUCAGGGUUUUUUCUCCGGCUAUGACCCUAGAUCGAUGGUUUUUUCUGUCGAAUCCACAUCUCAGGGUUUCUUUCUCCAGCGAUGACCCUUGAGCGAUGGAUUUCACCGGCGUUUUCAAAUCUCAGGGUUUAUUUCUCCGGCGAUAACCCUAGAGAUAGAUGGAUUUCACCAGCGUUUUCACAUCUCAGGUACCAUCUUAUUAACCAGAUCUGUAACUAUUUUCUUGCAGAUCUGUUAAAUUUUAGGGUUUGUUUCUACUUGAUUUGUGAAAUAGAUCCAGAUCUGUAACUAUUUUCUUGCAGAUCUGGUUACUUUCAGAUCCGUACAGUUUUAGUCAUGUUUUAAUCGGUAAAGUUAUCGGAUACUGAUUUGCUUCUUUUUCUAUCAUGGAUGUGAAUAAUGCAGGUUUAGUUUUAAAUCUACUUGUUGUUUAUCGUCUGUGAAUAAGUUUGGAUCUGGUUUCGUUUGCGAUCUAAGUAAGGUGUUUGGUUUUGUGUUGAAUAUGCUAUUUGUGGGGUGAUGUUUCAAGGCAUUAAAUAUAAAGGAAAUGAAUUGCUUAUAAAAAAACAGCUCAUUCGAGAAAACAAUUCAAUUCAGAUUAAACUAAAGCCAUCAAAUGUGUUCAUUUUCAUUUUGUGGGUGUGUGUGCUUUUUUUGGCAGGGUGUGGAGUUGAAUUUUUUUCUCACAAUGAGGCAUUCAAAAGGAUGAGAUUCUGUCAGAGAUGUUAUAAAAUGUAACAUGAAAAACAAACUUAUGUCUAUGUAGGUACUCAUUGAGAGUUUGAGACCACGAAUCCAUCUAUUGCUUAAUGAAUCAGGGAUAAUCUUGACAGGUCAUAAAGCUGGAGCUUCAUAUACGGGUCAAAUGUGCCUUGCCUGCAACUAUUUUUCUGAUUUUAUUUUCUUGUUGCAGGUGCCAAAAAGCUUCGAAGUGAAGAUGCUAGCCUUGAGGUUGUGGCAGCUGGUGUUGUUCCAAUUCUUGUUACUAGAGGCAUUGAGAAGACAAAUAAAGUGAGGCAUUGAGAAAACAAAUAAAGCUUUGGUGGCUGUGUUCAAGCCGAUCUCAAACUAGGUUUCGUAGAUCUCGUUGGCCUUUUGUCAUUCGUCUCCCUUGGUGGUCAACAUUUGAAUGUUGGUGGCGCUUUUUUCUUUCUCUCAUAUUCAUCAACGAUUUCUCAGGCAGAGCAGGGAGCAAUUACUUGAACACUAACAAGUUCAUUGAUGUUGUCGCCGAUGAGCUCAAAGCAAGACUCCCCAACAAAUAAUCAUGAUGAUUCCUUAUUGGUUACAUGGUGGUCGAGACUUGAGGGUCAGUUUCAAAGAUUCUAAAGAGGUCUUUUAUUUUCUAUAUUUGUAACUGGAAUUUUGGCGAAUUUAUAUUAGAUACUACCAGACGACUAAGAACGGGUCUCUUUUGGCAUUGCUUUCUUGAUGGAAUUGUUGUAUAUAAACUUAAUUUCAUUUUUCUUAAGUAAAAGAAUGACAGUUAACAACACAUUUCAUCAGCAGACUCCCAAGAUUUGUGGGUAAAAAUAACUAUUUCUUCCGGAUUGCCGGAUUGCCUCACGCGAGUUGUAAUGUUAAAUUUUGUAUAUACUAAAGGAUGCUACAAGUUAGAUAGUAAAGGCUAAAAACUUUAGAGAGCGACGAUAUUUACCCAAAUGUACAGAAAUGUGACAAUCUGAGUUG